rnacentral:RNase_P_RNA from 1 species
AAAGCAGACCGGAUAGUCGCUCCUCUAUUCCGGGCCGAUCGGAUUAGAGGGGAGGAAAGUCCGAGCUCCACAGGGCAGGGUGGUCCGUAACGCGGACGGGCAGCAAUGCCACGGAAAGUGCCACAGAAAACAUACCGCCCCGCUCCUUUCGGCCAUUGCAAUUUGCCGCGAGAACGAUUAUGUCCUAAUGGCCAGCAUGAAGGGAAAAGCCUUCUACUUUGUAAAAUCGAAAGGUGCGGGGUAAGGGUGAAAAGGCGAGGUAAGAGCUCACCGCCCCGAUGGUGACAUCGGGGGCACGGUAAACCCCACCCGGAGCAAGGCCAAAUAGGAGAGGAGAGGUGACCCGCCUCGUUAUUACUCUCGGGUAGGCUGCUUGAGCCCGAUGGCAACAUCGAGGCCAGAUGAAUGGCUAUCCCCGACAGAACUCGGCUUACAGGUCUGCUUUGGCC